rnacentral:rRNA from 1 species
UACGGGAGGCAGCAGGGGGAAUAUUGCACAAUGGGCGCAAGCCUGAUGCAGCCAUGCCGCGUGUAUGAAGAAGGCCUUCGGGUUGUAAAGUACUUUCAGUCGUGAGGAAGGUGUUAAGGUUAAUAACCUUAGCAAUUGACGUUAGCGACAGAAGAAGCACCGGCUAACUCCGUGCCAGCAGCCGCGGUAAUACGGAGGGUGCGAGCGUUAAUCGGAAUUACUGGGCGUAAAGGGCACGCAGGCGGUUAAUUAAGUUGGAUGUGAAAUCCCCGGGCUUAACCUGGGAAUGGCAUUCAAGACUGGUUAGCUAGAGUCUUGUAGAGGGGGUAGAAUUCCAUGUGUAGCGGUGAAAUGCGUAGAGAUGUGGAGGAAUACCGGUGGCGAAGGCGGCCCCUGGACAAGACUGACGCUCAUGUGCGAAAGCGUGGGGAGCAAACAGGGAUUAGAUACC